rnacentral:rRNA from 1 species
GUAGUCGAUGGACAACCGGUUGAUAUUCCGGUACCCGCUUUGAAGCGCCAGCGCUGAACCUUCUGAUGCUAAGUCCGUGAAGCCGCCGGCUGAGUCUUCGGACGAGGUCGGAGUGGUGGAGCCGACGACCCGAGGGGGUAGUAGGUGAGUGAUGGGGUGACGCAGGAAGGUAGUCCAGCCCGGGCGGUGGUUGUCCCGGGGUAAGGGUGUAG